CUCAUUAAUUUAUCAUUUAAUAUAAAUGCUGACAGAAAGCAGAUAAAGACCUUUAGACACUUUCAUAUAUUUACAAUCCAAAAGGUGAAUCACCUCCUUCUAUUUGUUAAAUGAAUCCUUUUAUCUGCAACUUACAAGAGCCUUAAACCCUACUUAGGAGCAACGAGAGGCUGAGUCAGUUUCCAAGGUAAGAAAGGAAAUAGCAUUUUAACAAAAUGUGCCAUCUUUAAUAUAAACAACAUGCACACAAAUAAUACAAAAUUAAGAGAGAAGGCCUUAAUCUUCUCAAGAAUAUGCAACAAGAGGUACAUAUACGCAUUCAGAUCCAGACUUCGGGAGCCCUAAACACACUCCUAGUUCUUUUUCCCCACCUCAUUUGUUCUGAAAGCUGUUUAAACAUGGAAAUACUAAGCAGAUUAAACAAGAAAGGGAAUGUUCCAUUUCAAGCAAGGUUCUUUUUCUCCUAUACAAAAACAACUUUCAGAAGAUAAUGCCUUCAGACAAAACCUCACUGUCAAGGAGACUGUUGGCCAGAGAGUAGGGAGUUGGUCACAGGCUGGUGAAGUUCGACCCAUCAUUUGUUCUCAACUGGAAACAUUUGGAAAAUGUAAAAAUCUCACAAAGUCCAUUCACUUAAAAGUCAGCUCAAUUUAAAAAACCUCAUGGUUUAAAAUUUUUCUACCCAGGUGGGUAGAAAAUGUCAGAAAACAAUAGGGAGCUGAGGCAAUGGGAAAAUACAGGAAUGUAGGAAAACCUUUUAAAAUGGCAUUUUCCGUAGCACUGAUUCUGAGAAGGGAAUUCACACUACCCAUAAAGCUAUCUCUAUUCUGACUCAAAUCUCACGGCUCCUUAACUAACUUAAGAUUACUCGUGUUAAGUAUACCUCUGCAGGGCACAAUCACAUACAAUCAAUACGAUUGGUAAAUUACAUAAGCUCUAUCCCAAGCAAAUAUGAAUCAAUGUUAAAGUUAUUUUUUAAAAACAAAACAAAAACCUAAGAAAAAUCCACCCAAAAAGGUGAUAAUGAGUGCAGAAUGUCUCAGGCGACUGGUAUGAGUCGUGAGACCAAUUGACCAUAGGCAAGGAAGGGUUGCAGGGGUAAAGGGAAAAGACCACACACCAAGAGGAACCUCACAACUGGAAAUCGUUUAGGUGGGUGAAAGGUUUGCUGAGAACCCUAGUUCAUUUUUUGCAUUACUCCUGAAAAGUCAGAUUCAAUAGAGGUACUGAGGCGUAUGACUGAUGAAGUUUUUUUUUUUUUUUUUCUUUUAACAGAAAGGUGGGAAGACAAAGGAUAAGAGAGGAUAAGUGAAAGUUAGGGGAAAAAAGUCUCUCAGGGCUGUCUCUGUAUUUAUGGGGUGGUUUGGAUAUACUGUGAAAUGCCAGCCAACAAACAAAGAGAGGCUACACCAAUAAAUUAUAAAAAUGGCAACUGUUAAAAGGAGACCAAAACCAAACACAAACCCCAGAGCACUAUCCACAGUCUUGCAUCCUUUCCUCACCUUUCCUGCUCACUGGAGCUUCGACCACCUGACAGUUUCCAGUUAUAAGAUGACUCUGAGUGUACAACCCAACACAGGAGCCAAAGACUUGUGAGCUCUGUCUACAUAUGUAGCAUUAAAGACAGAAACAAAACAAAACAAAACAAAACACCAAACAAAAACAAAUGAACUAACCAGAAUGAGUCUUCAAUACAAAAGAAAAGUCGCUUAUCUACUAUAUAAUAUACACUAGGACAACAAACUCCACAGGAUUUCACUUUUCUAAAUACACGUUUUUCUGACACAGUAUUGUCUUAAAGUUAAGUUUUCCACCUUGGGUUACAAUGCCUUACUUUCUUGUGAAAAUGAAGGCUAUUUUGCUCAAGGAUAAGUUCAGGGAAAUUCAGUGUUUGUCUGAAAUCCAGAGGCUCUAAGAACAAUUCCAGUGCUAAGGGAAGUCCCUUUCUCACAAUGGGAUUCCAAGGGUUCUUUGCCCACUUAUUCAGUGUAGUACUGAAACCUACUUACUGAGAAUACUUGAAGGUGUCACUUGCUCCUGGGGUGGCAGUUUCCUAUUCUUUAUUAAUGUAACUAGAAUUACUAAUCAAUUAAAAUCUGUUACUUAUAAAAACACUUUUAGCAAUUACAGAAAUAGAAUCGUAAAAUUUCAAAUAAUGUUACUUCUUAUACCUUUUGAAAAAAUAAAACCAAACCAGCUCUUUGAAGUGGCUCAGAAAAGCUGAUUGAGAACACUAAAAAAAUAUGUUAGCACAAUUUACCAAAAACUCCCAGCAAGUCAUUUCAGCAGGAAUAUGUAAAAAGCUGAGCUAUUAAAAAAAAAAAAAAAAGCCAUAGCUGUCUAAGGUAGACUUCGAUGUGUUUCGUCUGCAAAACAAGCAUGCAGGUAAAAUGGUGUCAGUAGUUGACAGCUUGUUGUCUCAGUGAGGUUGUCCAAUCUGAGUUCUAUUUUCAGGGAUGAGAUCCCUUUGCAACACUAUCAGCAUAUAUUAACAAUUAAGAUUUUGACACUAUCCAACCUUUUAUAGUGCAAGAGUGUGAUCGUGAAAUACUUGCAGUUAAUUUGCAAGGUCAUUAACUCCUCUUGAAAACUAAUUAGGCAUAUCUUUUAAUAAAUCAUCAUAGAUGGUUUUUACACAAAGAUUUUACAUAUUGAACUCUUUACUUGAUUCUUUAAAAGCCCAAGUGAAAAAUAUAGUGAAAUUUCAUUCUACCUCCAUUUGUACAUAAAAGUAAUAGCAAAUGAAUCCCAUGUAGUGAAACUAAGCUGUCCCUGAACAUAAGCCGAGAGGGUACUAAGUAACUAGUUAAUUGUUUCUCACAAGCGUCAAGCUCAGGAGGGAUCCCCAGACCCAGGACUUGACAUAGUGAAAGUCCAUUGUCCUGUAGGCACGAGUGAAAGGACAGAAAGACACAGAAGAUAGUAUCACAUCA
ensembl:lncRNA